rnacentral:rRNA from 1 species
CCCUUAGAUGUUCUGGGCCGCACGCGCGCUACACUGACGAAGUCAGCGAGCAUGUCCUACGCCGACAGGUGCGGGGAAUCUUGUCAAACCUCGUCGUGAUGGGGAUUGAUUUUUGAAAUUCUUGAUCAUAAACGAGGAAUUCCUAGUAAGCGCAAGUCAGCAGCUUGCGUUGAUUACGUCCCUGCCCUUUGUACACACCGCCCGUCGCUACUACCGAUUGAAUGGUUUAGUGAGAUCUUCGGAUUGGCGCCACUGCAGCUCAGCAAUGGGCUUGGUGGAUGCCGAAAAGUUGAUCAAACUUGAUCAUUUAGAGGAAGUAAAAGUCGUAACA